GUGCCCGUAGCUCAGUCGGUUAGAGCAGAUGACUCAUAAUCAUCCGGUCCUGGGUUCGAGCCCCAGCGGGCGCA
rnacentral:tRNA from 1 species